rnacentral:rRNA from 1 species
UACGGAGGGUGCAAGCGUUAAUCGGAAUUACUGGGCGUAAAGCGUGCGCAGGCGGUUUGUUAAGUCCGUUGUGAAAGCCCCGAGCUCAACUUGGGAAUUGCAGUGGAUACUGGCAGGCUGGAGUAUGGUAGAGGAAGGUGGAAUUCCCGGUGUAGCAGUGAAAUGCGUAGAGAUCGGGAGGAACACCAGUGGCGAAGGCGGCCUUCUGGACCAAUACUGACGCUCAUGCACGAAAGCGUGGGGAGCAAACAGG